GAUGAACGCUGGCGGCGUGCCUAAUACAUGCAAGUCGAGCGAACAGACGAGGAGCUUGCUCCUCUGACGUUAGCGGCGGACGGGUGAGUAACACGUGGAUAACCUACCUAUAAGACUGGGAUAACUUCGGGAAACCGGAGCUAAUACCGGAUAAUAUAUUGAACCGCGUGGUUCAAUAGUGAAAGACGAUUUUGCUGUCACUUAUAGAUGGAUCCGCGCCGCAUUAGCUAGUUGGUAAGGUAACGGCUUACCAAGGCAACGAUGCGUAGCCGACCUGAGAGGGUGAUCGGCCACACUGGAACUGAGACACGGUCCAGACUCCUACGGGAGGCAGCAGUAGGGAAUCUUCCGCAAUGGGCGAAAGCCUGACGGAGCAACGCCGCGUGAGUGAUGAAGGUCUUCGGAUCGUAAAACUCUGUUAUUAGGGAAGAACAAAUGUGUAAGUAACUAUGCACGUCUUGACGGUACCUAAUCAGAAAGCCACGGCUAACUACGUG
rnacentral:rRNA from 1 species